AGAAAGGGGCUCUCUUCAUCUGCCCAGCCCCCACUCAUGGGAUGAGGGACCUCAUAAGUGGAUACAGGCUGACAUCCGCCAUUGUCAUGAGCAUCUUUAGCGCCUGCUUUUCUGCAUGUGGUUCAAUUAUAUUAUGUAUCGCGUGUUUCUCCUAUGCUGCAAAAAUGGAAGACUAUGUUUGGUCACAGUUAGCUGGCGGUAUGCUUUUACAGUAUUUGCUCUUCAGCAGUGUCACAGAGCUGAUCGUUGUAAGCAUAAUCCUGUCCUGGAUUGUGCGAGCAUUGCGUCAUCCAGAACCCAAAACAGAAAGUUACACACUGUCUGAAUCCUCUGUGCCUUCAUAAUUUCCAAAGAACCAGUGUGACUCCAGUCAAGAAAAGAUUAAUUGUGAAUUAGUGAAGAACUCCAUGACUUUUUCUUUCAAGAGACCUCAUGGAAAAUGCAUCCUAAUGAAGUCUUUUCCGAUGCUCCUUUUCCCGACCUCUUCAAUAAAGGACGCAAUUUGAUGACAAGUUGACUGUUCUUUCAUAAAAGCCAAUCUGAGUUGA
rnacentral:lncRNA from 1 species